UUAUAAGAGACAGCAGCAGCCGCGGGAAUACGAAGGGUGCAAGCGUUACUCGGAAUUACUGGGCGUAAAGCGUGCGUAGGUGGUGGUUUAAGUCCGUUGUGAAAGCCCUGGGCUCAACCUGGGAAUUGCAGUGGAUACUGGGUCACUAGAGUGUGGUAGAGGAUAGUGGAAUUUCCGGUGUAGCAGUGAAAUGCGUAGAGAUCGGAAGGAACAUCUGUGGCGAAGGCGACUAUCUGGGCCAACACUGACACUGAGGCACGAAAGCGUGGGGAGCAAACAGGAUUAGAUACCCCCGUAGUCCCUGUCUCUUAUAC
rnacentral:rRNA from 1 species